rnacentral:lncRNA from 1 species
AGGGCACUACAAUAGAAUCAGAUAUUGCAAAUCAAGUGGCAUCCACUAGCAAUCAACAACAACUCAUGUUAACUCAAGAAGAAAUUCAGCUCUUUAAAGAACUAAUCUCCUCAACCAAAGCAAAUAGCAAUCCUGGUAAUAUUUCUUCUUUUUCAUUCAACAUAAACUCUUACAUUGAUAAAUGGAUAGUAGACACCGGGGCAUC